CCCGGGCCUCGUCAGAGCGAUUCGAGCGAUUCGCGAGCCAGCACCACCGACGCAUUCCUCGCCCGAGACUCUAUCCCGCGGGAUUCCUCCUUGCAGUGGCAACAGGUGCGAGCCGUGACCCACUCGUGACCCAGUCGUGACCUACUCGAGACCACCGAGGCACCAGGUCCUGUCCAGGUGAAGGCCCAACCAAGCAUGAGCGUCGACGACAUCUUGAACUACAAGCCCGACGAGAACGAGGACUUCUACGCCCUUCUCGGAUGCGACGAGUCGGCUUCGGUUGAACAAAUUACGGCGGAGUACAAGGUCCUCGCUCUCCAGUACCACCCCGACAAGAACGAGGGGAACAAAGAGGCCGAGGAGAAGUUCCAGCGUCUGAAGAAUGCCAAGGAAAUUCUCUGCGAUCCGGAGAAGAGGAUUAAUUACGAUAAAUGGCGACGCAGCGGUAUAGCGAUCAGCUACAAGCAGUGGCUGGGCAUGAAAGAACACGUCCAUCAGUCGAUGCACUGGAGCACGCCGAAGACAAAGGACAGGAUGCUGCCCGGUACCAGCGAGAGUUCCCCAGGUCACGGUAAGGAACGUAAACCGACGACGGGUGCCAACGCCCACAGGAGGGCCUCCGAGGGUGGGUCCAAUAUCCAUUAUGGAGCUCGGCGAGACCUCAACUGGGACUCGGAAGCUCUCAGCGAAGUCCUCAGCAAGUUCCGCAACUACGAGAUUUAAGAGUCCCAUUAGUCGUUCCACCCGAAAGACACGGGGAUGUACCGUUGCCCUUCCGCGCGAAUCACCAACUUGUACGUGUUUCCUUCGAAAGUACCUACGUACCUGCAUACGUACACGUCCAUGCCCGUAUCUCUACCUGCACUUGGAAGAAACAAAAUUGGACCAGCGAUAACGAGCCUUAUUUCGGUGACCAGUAUUUUCUACUCCUCGUUUACGAGAUUCGGUUGCUUUUCUCAAGAUUCUCCUCACUCCAGAUGCGAUUAGGGUUCGCCUAGGUACCAUUCGGUUCGUCCCGUAAGCACCUGCAAAAUCGCAUUGAAAAAAGAAAUUCAUUAAGAUGUACUUAUGUUACGGUAAUGAGCAUGAAUUAGUCAUCGGCUGGAUAUUCGGAAGGAAUUUAUCCACGCCGGAAUGGUUCGUUUGGUUAUGGAGAGAGCAUUUAUUAGAGUAGUUUUCCUUAUCUAUGAAGGAGGAGCGUAUGUGCGAGACUCUAAAUCAAAAAACAAAUGUAUAUAUAUAUACAGAAUUCGAGGAGGAAUAUUUUAACGCGCUGAUCGCUCGACAAAACUGUCGGCCGCUUAAUUAAUGAACGUUUACCGAAUGAGAUGGACAACAAAUUAUAUACAUAUAUAUUAUCGGGAAGAAAUAUCCUUCCUUUUCGAAUUUUCAUUCUUCCUUUUUUUUUUCUUUUUUAUUUCACGCAAGUACCGAGAGAGUUGCAUCGCCUCUAACGUGUAGUAUGUGUCUACGUGUAUACGUAUACGUACGUCUUGAGGAUAUUAAUACGUAUACUUUUCCGCGUUUGAAAUCCGAAUUUCCGGGAACGAGAGUUUCUAUUUUUUAAAUUAUAAACGACUCGUGCUCGGCCCAAAAUCCUUCGGUACUGUGAAAGGUAUAUUUUUAUAAGUAAAUGGAAAACUCUUCCUUAUUGCGACGAGCAUUGCAUUCGGUCGAAUGGUAACAAUGGUUUCGACCAAAAGUCUCUUGAUUCACAUAUCAGCACGAUGCUCCGGCUGAGCUGACAAAGUGUUAUCGCAGCCAAUUUGUCCUCUCUCUUUUUCUUUUUUGGCGUAAAAAUGCCCAGGAACACUUCUUGCAACUUAACGACCUACGUAUCGAGCUUACUGCCCGACCUUGUCAAUUGUCCCUGUUAAGUCGUGAAAGGACGCCAUCGGCACUAGAUUUUCGGUGAAAGAGAGAAAAUCGAAAAAUCCUCCCACCUGUACACUGUAAAAUAUCCGGCAUUGUAACCAUCAUCAUCCGACCUAAGGCCAAACCAUUUGGUGGCGAGUCUUUCGUCGAUCCGCGUAUAUCCUACAAUAAUUUAUAAAAAGAAAAUUACAUUAAAUGGCUUGGACUCGGACUUUUUUUUACUCUGCAUCGAUAACGGCGCUAGUCUUUCCAGAGAUCGUUACUAGCGAUUUAAAGGGAAUAAGCGGAUACUGGAAAAAACCUCAUUUUCGAGUGACUAAUAAAAGCAAAAAAUCUUUCGCCUUGACGCGAGGGUGAAGAAAAAACGGCGAAACGGAACCGCUAGAUCGUGAAUACCUUCUAUACAAAAUGUUGGAAAAUGAGAGGCAGGAUUAUUCGGGAGGUGUAUUGAGCGCACGUUUAAUGGGUCUCUAUUUUAGUACACUAGAAACUCAGCUGAGACCGUGAAUGUUAUAUAAAAUAUGACACGUAUAAAAAGCCCCGUUAAAAGUGUGCGUAAUAUAUUUUUUUAAUAGUCUUGCAGUUCCUCCAUUUGUAACUGUUAGCGCUUCCCUGAAUUGUCCCCCGGUGUAAGUAUCGUGAGAAUUUUUAAUGUGGUUUCCUUCAAGAACACAGAGACGAUAAGUUGCCAAUUCAAAGACGGAAGAUUUGUCGAUACGAGGAAUUAAUUUAACCAAUAGGAGAAAUUAAUAAUCGACGCUUAAGAACUGUCUUUGCGAUGGUGGAUUAUCCUUCUCCAUGCGGUUGCAACUACGAUCUAUGGUAUACAGUUUAUGCGUAAUGACCCGUCUGCAACAAUUAUGCAAGAUUUAAUUUAAAGCAAUGUACCCCCAACCUCGUCAACGACUCCGUCGCGCGAACGUCAUCAAUGUCCGUCAUGAAUGAUUUUUGAGGUGCGAGAUAACUGUGUGACGCAUCUAAUUUCAUGAAUCGACGCACAGGCGAUCCCGAAGUCCGAGUUCGACUGUGACUUUGAAUCCCGAGCAAGGUUAGGGGCGGUGUCGAAGAUGAGCGCUUGCUCAAAAAGGAUUAGGAAAGUGACGGACAAUGAGCGCGACUUCCUCGUCUUCGCGACGUCUGUACCUGUAAAUGUGUACCUGUACCCACGUCGUAUGUACCUGUCGCCUGUUACCAUCGUAGAUAAUUUGGCAGAAACAAAAUCUCGAAAAAGGGAAAAGUAUGUUAUACCUCCGCUCGGACCAGCCGAUCGUUGUUUUCAUGUGCGCGACUACUCCACGUAUUUACAGCACGCCGGUAGACAUAUCCGACGACGCAUGUAACUGUCUACCUUUCAAUGCGACUCAAUAAAUGUAAUAUGUUGAGAA
rnacentral:misc_RNA from 1 species